CGUUUGCCCCGGUUCCGGCACUGUGGGAGCCGCUGCCUCUCCCCUCCCAGCCGAAACCACGAGCGCUUCCUGCUGGGGGUCCCUCCCCUCCGCGGGCGAUGCCGCUCUGUGCUGGGGCUUCAUCCUCCAUCCAUUCAGGGGGUUCUGGAGCUGACGGGGAAGGUGGGCCAGGACUUUAAAGAGACGAGGAAUGACAAUCAAUAAUACAUGCUGGUGAAGAAAAUACGGUCAGUUUAAGUGCAGCUCUUGCAACAGCUUUCAAAGCAACACACUGGAAGAGACCAGGCAGCCCACAGUUUAAGGUUAUCCUGUGUUGGGAUCAGAGCUAAUUCUAAAUUUGUUCGCAGAAUUACCAGAAAUCUGCCCCUCGUACUGCAGAAAUCCAGGCAAGCUAUUAUCCCCUGACGUACUCAUUCUUUACCCGAGGAAACUCCUCUCCUCCAACCUCCUUGUUUCUUCUUGCCAGCCAUCCCCAUGCCCCCGGCCCUGCCGGCCACGGGCUGCAGCUGCACGACUCGAAGUUCCUCCUGGCGAUGCCGGUGGCAGGCGAGGCAGGCGUCGCGUUAUUGCAGCGCUUACAGCACGUGCGUCGUGAAGCCCACCGGAUCUGGGGCAAUGCCGGAGCCAGCCGCACAUCCCUUCGGUAUCUGUGGGGAGAGAGCAGAGGAAAGCAAGCGCUGAUGGUUGGGUCCUCAGCUCCCUGUCACUGAGAGCACUUCCAGCAGCUGCAGCAAAGUGGGAGGUGUAAAUAUUAUUCCAGGCCUUGCUCCUCUGUUUAAAAAGCAUCUCUGGCCCUAGCCCGUAGCUGUGGCUCAGCGUCCACAGAUGCUGGAAGGUGGGAUGGGCGCAGGUUGUGAAAUCCCCCCCACGGCAAAGACCGCCCCGAUGCAGAGAGCGCAGGUGGGGACCGCAACGCCCUGUCCUGCAGGCAGCCCACCCCACACCACAAAGACUUCCAGGGCUGGACCCCGAUUCCCUUCGCUUCUGCAAGAGCCGCAACUGGCAUUUACUGCAAGAGACUUGAACCCGAGCAGGAAGCUACAGGAAUAACGAGAAUCUUGGACGCUUUUUCAUUAACGGCGAGUUCUCAAAGCCACUUUGAUCUGAUCCUCAGAGCAUUUUUCCUCCCCUCUGGACUCUAUGCGCUUUAAACGCAAAUAUGAUUUCAUGGAACAACUUUUUUAUUACCUCCUUGCCUCUGACGCUUUUUGCUCUUUCUCGUUGCGACGCUGCUCUGACACACUCAGCACAACUGUGGGUGGGUGCCACGCGUGAAGCCGGACACCCAAGAGGGACCCGCGCUCUUCCCUGCUGAGUCAUUCACAGCCCCGGAUGCUCCAGGGGUUUUUCUCCACCCUAAAAACAAAUAAAACAUUUGGACCAAGUUGAAAAGUUAAA